UUAGUGGAAGCGUCUGGAAAGGCGCGCGAUACAGGGUGACAGCCCCGUACACAAAAAUGCACAUGCUGUGAGCUCGAUGAGUAGGGCGGGACACGUGGUAUCCUGUCUGAAUAUGGGGGGACCAUCCUCCAAGGCUAAAUACUCCUGACUGACCGAUAGUGAACCAGUACCGUGAGGGAAAGGCGAAAAGAACCCCGGCGAGGGGAGUGAAAAAGAACCUGAAACCGUGUACGUACAAGCAGUGGGAGCACAGAGCAAUCUGUGUGACUGCGUACCUUUUGUAUAAUGGGUCAGCGACUUAUAUUCUGUAGCAAGGUUAACCGAAUAGGGGAGCCGAAGGGAAACCGAGUCUUAACUGGGCGUUAAGUUGCAGGGUAUAGACCCGAAACCCGGUGAUCUAGCCAUGGGCAGGUUGAAGGUUGGGUAACACUAACUGGAGGACCGAACCGACUAAUGUUGAAAAAUUAGCGGAUGACUUGUGGCUGGGGGUGAAAGGCCAAUCAAACCGGGAGAUAGCUGGUUCUCCCCGAAAGCUAUUUAGGUAGCGCCUCGUGAAUUCAUCUCCGGGGGUAGAGCACUGUUUCGGCAAGGGGGUCAUCCCGACUUACCAACCCGAUGCAAACUGCGAAUACCGGAGAAUGUUAUCACGGGAGACACACGGCGGGUGCUAACGUCCGUCGUGAAGAGGGAAACAACCCAGACCGCCAGCUAAGGUCCCAAAGUCAUGGUUAAGUGGGAAACGAUGUGGGAAGGCCCAGACAGCCAGGAUGUUGGCUUAGAAGCAGCCAUCAUUUAAAGAAAGCGUAAUAGCUCACUGGUCGAGUCGGCCUGCGCGGAAGAUGUAACGGGGCUAAACCAUGCACCGAAGCUGCGGCAGCGACGCUGAUGCGUUGUUGGGUAGGGGAGCGUUCUGUAAGUCUGCGAAGGUGUGCUGUGAGGCAUGCUGGAGGUAUCAGAAGUGCGAAUGCUGACAUAAGUAACGAUAAAGCGGGUGAAAAGCCCGCUCGCCGGAAGACCAAGGGUUCCUGUCCAACGUUAAUCGGGGCAGGGUGAGUCGACCCCUAAGGCGAGGCCGAAAGGCGUAGUCGAUGGGAAACAGGUUAAUAUUCCUGUACUUGGUGUUACUGCGAAGGGGGGACGGAGAAGGCUAUGUUGGCCGGGCGACGGUUGUCCCGGUUUAAGCGUGUAGGCUGGUUUUCCAGGCAAAUCCGGAAAAUCAAGGCUGAGGCGUGAUGACGAGGCACUACGGUGCUGAAGCAACAAAUGCCCUGCUUCCAGGAAAAGCCUCUAAGCAUCAGGUAACAUCAAAUCGUACCCCAAACCGACACAGGUGGUCAGGUAGAGAAUACCAAGGCGCUUGAGAGAACUCGGGUGAAGGAACUAGGCAAAAUGGUGCCGUAACUUCGGGAGAAGGCACGCUGAUAUGUAGGUGAAGCGACUUGCUC
rnacentral:rRNA from 1 species